GCGCGAAAACUUUACAAUGCGGGAAACCGUGAUAAGGGAACUCCGAGUGCCCGUAAAAUCGGGCUGUCCAUCUGUUUAAAUAACAGGUGAAGAAAGGGCCGGGCAAGACCGGUGCCAGCCGCCGCGGUAAUACCGGCGGCUCGAGUGGUGGCCACUAUUACUGGGCUUAAAGCGUUCGUAGCUGGUUUGUUAAGUCUCUGGGGAAAUCUGCCGGCUCAACCGGCAGGCGUUCCAGGGAUACUGGCAGACUAGGGACCGGGAGAGGUGAGGGGUACUCCAGGGGUAGGAGUGAAAUCCUGUAAUCCUUGGGGGACCACCUGUGGCGAAGGCGCCUCACCAGAACGGCUCCGACAGUGAGGGACGAAAGCUGGGGGAGCAAACCGGAUUAGAUACCCGGGUAGUCCCAGCCGUAAACGAUGCGCGUUAGGUGUAUCGGUGACCACGAGUCACCGAGGUGCCGAAGAGAAAUCGUGAAACGUGCCGCCUGGGAAGUACGGUCGCAAGGCUGAAACUUAAAGGAAUUGGCGGGGGA
rnacentral:rRNA from 1 species